GUUCUUAUCGGUGCAGGGCGGAUGCCUUGGCACUA
rnacentral:rRNA from 1 species